AAGUCGUAACAAGGUUUCCGUAGGUGAACCUGCGGAAGGAUCAUUACCUUUCAAUGCAGCAGAAUUGGGAUGGUUGAGUAUCUCGCCUCUCCGUUCUGCCUGUAUUCUACCCUUGUUUGUCAUAUACUAUUAUUUCCUCGGCAGGCUUGCCUGCCGAGUGAAACCAUUUAUAACCUUUUUCAUUUUCAAUCAGCGUCUGAAAAAAAUUAAUAAUUACAACUUUCAACAACGGAUCUCUUGGUUCUG
rnacentral:misc_RNA from 1 species